AGAGUUUGAUCCUGGCUCAGGACGAACGCUGGCGGCGUGCCUAACACAUGCAAGUCGAGCGAGGCUGUUAGAGUGGAAUUUUUCGGAAUGAAACUCUAACUGUCCUAGCGGCGGACGGGUGAGUAACGCGUGAGAAACCUGCCUUUCACAAAGGGAUAGCCUCGGGAAACUGGGAUUAAUACCUUAUGAUACUCUUUUCCAGCAUUGGAGAAAAGUUAAAGCGUAAAGCGGUGAAAGAUGGUCUCGCGUCCCAUUAGUUAGUUGGUGAGGUAACGGCUCACCAAGACCGCGAUGGGUAGCCGGCCUGAGAGGGUGAACGGCCACACUGGAACUGAGACACGGUCCAGACUCCUACGGGAGGCAGCAGUGGGGAAUAUUGCACAAUGGAGGAAACUCUGAUGCAGCGACGCCGCGUGAACGAUGAAGGCUUUCGGGUCGUAAAGUUCUGUCCUAGGGGACGAUAAUGACGGUACCCUAGGAGGAAGCCCCGGCUAACUACGUGCCAGCAGCCGCGGUAAUACGUAGGGGGCGAGCGUUGUCCGGAUUUAUUGGGCGUAAAGGGUUCGCAGGCGGCCCUUUAAGUCAGAUGUGAAAGAUCACGGCUCAACCGUGGUAAGCAUUUGAAACUGGAAGGCUUGAGUUAAGGAGAGGAAAGUGGAAUUCCUAGUGUAGCGGUGAAAUGCGUAUAUAUUAAGGAAGAAUACCAGUAGCGAAGGCGAAUUACUGGCCUCUAACUGACGCUGAUGAACGAAAGGGUGGGGAAGCAAACAAGAAUAAAAACCCCGGGUUACCCCCCGCCCGAAA
rnacentral:rRNA from 1 species